GACGAACGCUGGCGGCGUGCUUAACACAUGCAAGUCGAACGGUGACCCUCGGAGCUUGCUUCGGGGUGAACAGUGGCGAACGGGUGAGUAACACGUGAGUAACCUGCCCCCGACUCUGGAAUAAGCGCUGGAAACGGCGUCUAAUACCGGAUACGACACGCCUCCGCAUGGGGAGCGUGUGGAAAGUUUUUCGGUCUGGGAUGGACUCGCGGCCUAUCAGCUUGUUGGUGAGGUAAUGGCUCACCAAGGCGAUGACGGGUAGCCGGCCUGAGAGGGCGACCGGCCACACUGGGACUGAGACACGGCCCAGACUCCUACGGGAGGCAGCAGUGGGGAAUAUUGCACAAUGGGCGAAAGCCUGAUGCAGCGACGCCGCGUGAGGGAUGACGGCCUUCGGGUUGUAAACCUCUUUCAGCAGGGAAGAAGCGAAAGUGACGGUACCUGCAGAAGAAGCACCGGCUAACUACGUGCCAGCAGCCGCGGUAAUAC
rnacentral:rRNA from 1 species